GAGUAACACGUGGGUAACCUGCCCUUAAGUGGGGGAUAACAUUUGGAAACAGAUGCUAAUACCGCAUAAAUCCAAGAACCGCAUGGUUCUUGGCUGAAAGAUGGCGUAAGCUAUCGCUUUUGGAUGGACCCGCGGCGUAUUAGCUAGUUGGUGAGGUAACGGCUCACCAAGGCAAUGAUACGUAGCCGAACUGAGAGGUUGAUCGGCCACAUUGGGACUGAGACACGGCCCAAACUCCUACGGGAGGCAGCAGUAGGGAAUCUUCCACAAUGGACGCAAGUCUGAUGGAGCAACGCCGCGUGAGUGAAGAAGGCUUUCGGGUCGUAAAACUCUGUUGUUGGAGAAGAAUGGUCGGCAGAGUAACUGUUGUCGGCGUGACGGUAUCCAACCAGAAAGCCACGGCUAACUACGUGCCAGCAGCCGCGGUAAUACGUAGGUGGCAAGCGUUAUCCGGAUUUAUUGGGCGUAAAGCGAGCGCAGGCGGUUUUUUAAGUCUGAUGUGAAAGCCCUCGGCUUAACCGAGGAAGUGCAUCGGAAACUGGGAAACUUGAGUGCAGAAGAGGACAGUGGAACUCCAUGUGUAGCGGUGAAAUGCGUAGAUAUAUGGAAGAACACCAGUGGCGAAGGCGGCUGUCUGGUCUGUAACUGACGCUGAGGCUCGAAAGCAUGGGUAGCGAACAGGAUUAGAUACCCUGGUAGUCCAUGCCGUAAACGAUGAAUGCUAGGUGUUGGAGGGUUUCCGCCCUUCAGUGCCGCAGCUAACGCAUUAAGCAUUCCGCCUGGGGAGUACGACCGCAAGGUUGAAACUCAAAGGAAUUGACGGGGGCCCGCACAAGCGGUGGAGCAUGUGGUUUAAUUCGAAGCAACGCGAAGAACCUUACCAGGUCUUGACAUCUUUUGAUCACCUGAGAGAUCAGGUUUCCCCUUCGGGGGCAAAAUGACAGGUGGUGCAUGGUUGUCGUCAGCUCGUGUCGUGAGAUGUUGGGUUAAGUCCCGCAACGAGCGCAACCCUUAUGACUAGUUGCCAGCAUUUAGUUGGGCACUCUAGUAAGACUGCCGGUGACAAACCGGAGGAAGGUGGGGAUGACGUCAAAUCAUCAUGCCCCUUAUGACCUGGGCUACACACGUGCUACAAUGGAUGGUACAACGAGUUGCGAGACCGCGAGGUCAAGCUAAUCUCUUAAAGCCAUUCUCAGUUCGGACUGUAGGCUGCAACUCGCCUACACGAAGUCGGAAUCGCUAGUAAUCGCGGAUCAGCACGCCGCGGUGAAUACGUUCCCGGGCCUUGUACACACCGCCCGUCACACCAUGAGAGUUUGUAACACCCGAAGCCGGUGGCGUAACCCUUUUAGGGAGCGAGCCGUCUAAGGUGGGACAAAUGAUUAGGGUGAAGUCGUAACAAGGUAGCCGUAGGAGAACCUGCGGCUGGAUCACCUCCUUUCUAAGGAA
rnacentral:rRNA from 1 species